AAGAUUCAUCAGCUCUGACUCUUUAGGAGAACUAGCACUCAUCCACACAGGCCCCCCCGCCUCUGCCCGCAUUUGGCGCGGCCCGACUCUGCCGUGUCCGCGCCGCGCUUACGUCAUUCCGCUUCCGGCGUCUCGCGGAGUUCCGCCAUGGCCUCCAAGACAGCGAACCGUACCCCUCCGAGGUCUCGUCGGGAGCCGGCGGGGCGCCCCCCGGGACGGGACAAGUACUCGGUGCUGUUGCCCACCUACAACGAGCGCCAGAACCUGCCGCUCAUCGUGUGGCUGCUGGUGAAAAGCUUCUCCGAGAGUGGAAUCGACUAUGAAAUUAUAAUCAUAGAUGAUGGGAGCCCAGAUGGAACAAGGGAGGUUGCUGAACAGUUGGAGAAGAUCUAUGGAUCAGACAAAAUUCUUCUAAGACCACGGGAGAAAAAGUUGGGACUAGGAACUGCAUAUAUACAUGGAAUGAAACAUGCCACAGGAAACUAUAUAAUUAUUAUGGAUGCUGAUCUCUCACACCAUCCAAAAUUUAUUCCUGAAUUCAUUAGGAAGCAAAAGGAAGGUAAUUUUGACAUUGUCUCUGGAACUCGCUACAAAGGAAAUGGAGGUGUUUAUGGCUGGGAUUUGAAAAGAAAAUUAAUCAGCCGUGGGGCCAAUUUUGUAACUCAGAUUUUGCUGAGACCAGGAGCAUCUGAUUUAACAGGAAGUUUCAGGUUAUAUCGAAAAGAAGUUCUACAGAAAUUAAUAGAAAAAUGUGUUUCUAAAGGCUACGUUUUCCAGAUGGAAAUGAUUGUUCGAGCAAGACAGUUGCAUUAUACUAUUGGCGAGGCCAAAGAGAAGAGCCCAUGAUCACUGCCUUGGAAGAAUGUCAAGUCGAAGGGCAACAGCCUGCCUUCUGUAAAACACAGCCCCUGUCCACUGAACAGCCCACCAGGAAGGGUUUGGGCAUCACCCAUGGGGUUGCUUCUCAUCUCCAGUCCGUGUGUGAAGCACGAGGCACUCACACCUCAUUUAAGCUGGAGCAUCAGCCACCACCAGCCAGGUGUCCCUGCCCUUCCCGCUGCAGCGCAGCCACUGAGCGCUGGGGCUCUCGGCACGUGGUGCCUCAGGGCUGCCCACACGCCCCCUCCCGCCAGAUGUAGUCCAGGCCCAGCUGGGCCCGCGCAGGGAUCCCAGCACGGCCACCUGACUGAGUGCGAGGGGUGCUGCGGCCUCGGCUUGUGCUCCGCCGCCGGCGCUGCGGCCAGUGGAAGGCGCCUGCCUUGCACACGGGCCCUGGAAGCGCACUGCGGCCUUUAUCUGCGGCGCCUCCUAGUGGGUCAAUGGCAAAUCCUCUUGGUUCUCGCGAGAUUUCUUCCUCAGUGGGGAUUAUAUAAUUUCCCUUAGGCGGGGUGGUGGGGUGCUGGCGCCACCCUCCUUCAGAAAAAGUUAGGUGCCAGCAUAAUUGGGAGUAAGAGAGUUGUCCCUGGGGACACGUGUGGAAAGGGUACUGCGUCCCCCCACACACACACUCAGCUGGACAAUGAGUCCUCUUAUGCUAAUGAGCACUUACGUCACUUCCGCUCUUUCUCAGCCGCCAUUUUGGCUAGGGCAGGUUCGGGGACUCGCUCUGAGGCGCUUGUAUUGUCUGCUGAGGGGAGACGCGGGACCUGCCCCCUCCCCCGCCCGUUGCAGCCGCAGCCGCCGCCGGCCCGGUCUCCCCUCCGCCGCCCGCCGAGAUCCAUGAGCUGAACUCCCGCCCCCCCGGCCGCCGCCAUCUUGUUCCCCCUCCCCCUCCCGCGGGCAGCGCUAAGGGGGAUUUUGGCGUCUCCUCAGGCACAGCUCCCUCUCUCGGUCCCCGCAGCUGAGGAGCGAGAGGAGCGCGGCCGCCGCCGUCCGCCCGCCCGAGCCAGUGAAGCGGCCUCUCCCACACCCUCCGUCUCCUCCCUCCGCCCCUCCUUUGUCUGCACCGCUCGACGACGCCGCCGCCCGCGCGGGGACUGGAGGAAGCCGCUCGCGCCGCCGCCGCCGCCCGCCGCUCUGCUGCGCCCGCCGCGCCCCCCGGCAGCAGCCGCGGCCGCGGCGCGAGCCGGAGCCCGCCGAGGCCACCGAGCCCGGGCGCGCCCUCGCCGCCACCGCCGUGCCGCCGCCGCCCGCCCGCCGCUACCGCCCGGCCCCCGAGCACGCCGGCCCCGCGCGCGCCUCGAGGCCGAGUCAAGCUCCAAGAAUCUACUAAGGAUGACUUUAAGUGAGGACUUACUACAUCCUACUGUUCCCUGGCCUCUUGGAUUGGAGCAGAUUUGCCAGAAAAGUGAACUCUCUACUAAGAUUUUUUUGAAGUACUUAACAGUUUGGGGACAUUAAUAUAUGACCAUAGAGUCACUCAUUCAAUAUUGUCCAAAAUGGUCUGGAAAUUUGUGUUUAUUUCUGUAUCUUCUGCUUGUGUUUGUGAGGGUGUUUCUGGAAGAGAUUAGUAUUUGAAUUGGUAAGCUGAAUAAAGGAGAUCCAUCCUCACCAAUGUGGGUGGGUGUCUUCCAGUCUUUGAGGGUUGAAUAGAACAGGAUGGUGGAGGAAGGGGGAAUUUACUCUCCUCUCUUGACCUACCCCUGGACUUUGGCACUCUUGGCCUUUCCUCUAGGACUGGGACCCACACCAUUGCUCCCCUGGUUCAGACUCAAGACUGUAUUACACUGGCUUUCUUGAGUUUCCAGCUUGCAGAUGUCAGAUCGUGGCUCCAUAGUCUCAAGAGCCAAUUCCUAUGAUGAAUCUCCAUUGUUAUAUUUGUUGGUUCUGUUUCUUCAGAAAACUAUGACUAACAAAACAUACUAAGGAUACAUGAAGGCCCAGAAACAGUAUUUUGUGUCAGGGACACAGAUGAAUAAAGAGAUGGGAAAAUGUAGUGGUUAAAGCCAGAGAUAUUGACAUAGGACAACCUGAGUUCGAACCCCAGUUUUGCCCUUCAUCCCCUGAAUGACCUUGCCUGCCUGUACCUCUCCGGAGCCUGUUUCUCUCUUCUCCAAAAUGGUGUUGAGACAGGGGAGUAAGCCAGAAUAAGAAUAGGGAAACUGAGACACUUAAGCAGCACUUUGCAGCCACAUGGUAAGUCCUGUCUUCCCUAAACCUAGGACAUUCCUCCCCAACCAGAAAGAAGGUAAAUAGCUUAAAUCACUUAGGUAGGCAGUAAGAGUCCAAGUAGUGCCAUUUGGCAACCACACCCAAGGACAGAUGAAGUUAAGAGAAUAAAUCUCAUUUUGGUACUUUAGCAUAAAGCAGAUAAAUAUUCUAUUGAUUCUUCCCUAAAUGCUCAGCCUUUAAACCCCUCAAAAUGGCCUGCGGACUGAAGGGUCCCAGGUUCAAUUCUGGACUGGGGCACAUGCCCAGUAGGGGGUGUGCAGAAGGCAGCCGAUCAAUGAUUCUCCUCAUUGAUGUUUCUAUCUCUCUCCUUUGAUCUCUGAAAUCAAUAAAAAAAUAUUUUUAAAAAAUAAAUAAAACACCUCAAAAUAAAGGGCCCACCCAAGGUCUUCCUCCCAGGAGCAUGCAUUUUACCCCCCACAGGUAAGCAUCUCCUAAGCUCUAAGGGACCCCAUGAGGCUUGCAACCAGGGCAGCAGUGGGCAGCAGCAGUUCAUACCAGGCAAACCCCUGAACCUGUUCCCAAGGCCUCUUUUUCUUUUUCUCUGACUCCUUGGUGGGCUCAUUUCCCCCUCCUAGUUCUCCUGUUGUCCUAGGCCCUUUGUUGUCUCACUGUCCCCAGCUUUAAUAAACGUCCUCUAAAAUUUA